UAGUUGGGUCUUAUUGUAGUGGUUCCUUCUAAUAUCUGUCCAAAUUUUUAUCAGAGAUUUACGUAGAGUGUGUCUGGAGAAAUAUGAAUGGCUUUUAUUGUUUGGGUUCCA